UCCCUCUUAGCUCAGUGGUAGAGCGCGUCACUAGUACCUGUACGAAAUGACGAGGUCAGUCGUUCAAGUCGGCUAGAGGGAA